UCUGACAAUAGAGGCGCGAGUAUGAUGAGUAGCUUUCCGGAGGACAAUGGGUCCAGCGAAGGAAAGGGAAAGGCAGAUCGCCGAGAUAGAGAAUAGCCAUUCUAUUCUUUGUUGGGCUGGUAUUGAACAAAUGCCAGACUGUCGCAAUGCGAAGUUGUGGAGCACUAUUGAAGAG
rnacentral:ncRNA from 2 species